GACACCCGGCAGUGUUCGAGGUGCUUUCAAUAACUGCUCUUUGCCUUAGGAAAUAUACGGGAGCCCAAACCGGCGCGAAAGAUGUCAGGCCGUAAAUCGGAAGACAGAGGUCGCGACGGAGGCGCCCACCUUAACUAAAAAAGGUCUUGAGCCUUUGGGCAUACGGCACAGGCGGGGUGUCA
rnacentral:other from 1 species